rnacentral:rRNA from 1 species
UACGAAGGGGGCUAGCGUUGUUCGGAAUUACUGGGCGUAAAGCGCACGUAGGCGGAUACUUAAGUUAGGGGUGAAAUCCCAGGGCUCAACCCUGGAACUGCCUUUAAUACUGGGUAUCUCGAGUCCGGAAGAGGUGAGUGGAAUUCCGAGUGUAGAGGUGAAAUUCGUAGAUAUUCGGAGGAACACCAGUGGCGAAGGCGACUUACUGGACACAUAUUGACGCUGAGGUGCGAAAGCGUGGGGAGCAAACAGG